rnacentral:rRNA from 1 species
AUUGAACGCUGGCGGCAGGCCUAACACAUGCAAGUCGAACGAGUGGCGGACGGGUGAGUAAUGUCUGGGAAACUGCCUGAUGGAGGGGGAUAACUACUGGAAACGGUAGCUAAUACCGCAUACCAUCAGAUGUGCCCAGAUGGGAUUAGCUAGUUGGGGGGGUAACGGCUCACCAAGGCGACGAUCCCUAGCUGGUCUGAGAGGAUGACCAGCCACACGGGAACUGAGACACGGUCCAGCUGCCUACGGAGGGCAGCAGUGGGGAAUAUUGCACAAUGGGCGCAGGCCUGAGGCAGCCAUGCCGCGUGUAGGAAGAAGGCCUUCGGGUUGUAAGGUACGUUCAGCGGGGAGGCGUUACCCGCAGAAGAAGCACCGGCUAACUCCGUGCCAGCAGCCGCGGUAAUUC